AAACAGAACGUCUAUCAUUUCAAGGUUUAGGAUCAUAAAACAGAAGAAUACAAGUUUAGUCACAGAUUCAUAGUGAGUCUAAAGGUCCAGGGUCCCAAAAAAAGAAACCCAAAUCCAGUUUAACAAUGAAACCCCCAAAUUCUAGGGUUUCCAACAAGACCAAAUCCAGAAACGAGAAGGUAUGUGAAUAGACUCGAGGAGACUCAUGAGAAACAAACAGACCAUGAUAGCAGGCAUGAAACAAUCAGAGAAAGAAAAAUCGAUUUGAGAGCAUAAAAGGGACACAUUUUGAAAACUCAAAACUUAGCCAGGUCUAACAUAGACGAAACCUGCUUAACAAGAACACAAAUAGAGUCAGGAAACUCAGUAAUAGACAUACAUGGUAGGAGAGUGAAGAACAUUUAACAGAUUAAUUAUGUGAGCACAUGUAAAAGAAAAUAAGGACAAAACAUGGAUAAUAGAGAAGGAGAACAUACGAUGAUAUAGACAAAUAUCUAAAAGAAGAGAACAGCAAGAAAUCUAAAGGUAGCGGGUUUGAGAGAUUGGGGGAUAGGGC
rnacentral:lncRNA from 1 species